UUCAGGUGUGCACCUCACCAGCUAACGUGGAAUUUCAUCCCACCCAAACCUGCUUUCUUGUCCCAGUCUCUGGUCCUCAUGAAGGAGGAUGUGCCUGGUAUCCCUGGGAUUGCCGCUGGCCCCUCGAAUGUUACAGGCUGUGUGUGUGCCCAGAGAGGAGGCCAGGUUAACGACUUGUGGAAAACUGUCAGUUUUGCCUUUUGCAUUUUGUCAUUUCCAAUUUCCUUGCCCUGUCUCUCUGAUUAAGUUCUAAUCACUCAAAAAAUAUUGAGGAUAGAUGAGAAUGGAUAGACCCUUCCAAGUUUCUUCUGGGCAGUGUCAGUGCCUCAUUGGAGAUUUGGGGGUGAGUGGGUGUGCAUUCACCCUUACAUGCCCGACCACCACCCCAGCCUGACCCCACGGCCACGCGGUGAAUUCACAUCCUGCAGGGGAGCGCCCCCCCCAUCUGACCGAAGGAAACAAUUUCAAUUCAAUCAGAGGCCUCCUGCGGUUGGAGUUUACAAGGACUGCUGCCAAAUCCCACUCGCUUGGCGAACAAACUGUGCAGACGUCAGGCCUGUUGAGAGGGCGAGGCGCGUUUCUUACUUUCAAAAGAGGGUUGAUCCAAGAUGUUUGUAUUAUUUCAGUGCUGUUUUUCCUAUGGAGCUGGGCUUUGCUGGGGUGGGGGUGGAAGUUCUUUUCUUGUUCUUGAUAUUUUCCAGAGAUCAAAAUUAAAACACAAUGUGCUCAGAGUAAUCAGCAAGCUCUCAGAAGAAUUGCCUGUACUUUUGGUUUCUAGAAAAACCCACACAGUACUUCUUAACAUCGAGUGAUGUGCAGAGGUACGCGGACAGCAGGGAGACCGAGAUCUCCGCACACGGAGCACCUGCCCGAGCCUCCGCAUCUCGAGCAGGUGUGAAAACAAACAGCAGCCCCAGAGCUAACUCCCUCAGCUUCCUCCCGCACCGUCCUCCUGGGCAGAGCCCUGCGGAAAGCCGCGCAAGCGAGCAAGGCCGUUGGACAGCGCGUGACCCACACCAGCCCCGCCGCACACUGCCCCGAACCGAAGUCCUUUCCACCGGGACGGAGCCGGAUUUUACACCUCUGACUCCUGUCAGUACUCGGAAUGGCGGAGCUGAAGGACUGACUCACUCGCGCUGGCCCUCCCGGGCUGUGUGGGCCGCCGCCCGCUCGCGCGGCAGCAUUUGAACUCACCGCGUCGGCCUGUGCGAGCGCUCCGCGGCAGGCAGGGAGCCGGGGGAGCUGCGUUCGCUUACGGAGCCGCGUCGGGAGGCAGGGCUGGCGCGGGCCUGCUGGCCGUACUUCACUGCGCACCGGCCGCUCCAGGCCCGAGACACAAGAGGAGGCUUUCCUGAAGGGCCUUUUAGAGACAGGCGCGAGCUGAAACCCGGCCCCGAGCGCUCCGCACGCUUUGAGCGCGCUGCGCAUCUGCCCCCGGCAGAGGAAGGCCCGGGUGGAGCCCUGGGCAGGCCGCAGAAAUGGGAAUCUUCAAAACAAGGACAGUCUCCUCCCUUUCUGUCCAUCCCCUUCAAUUUUCUGAUCCUUUCCCUCCACUCCCUCUUUCUUGUAAAGACUCAAACUCUGAAAUAAUUAUAUGAAAUUAAGUCGGUAAACGCCAGCCUCGCUUCCUCGAGAUUGAUGUGUUCACGUUUCGGGCAGUUUUCUCAGGACUCGGAGGGACUAUUAUUUCUGAGCUUGGCUGGGAAUCUCCCUCCUCCCCGGGCAGAGAAGAGCCUCCUCCUCCGAAACCGCAGUUGCUCUCUUCCGUGACACCUCCCCCGAGACACGGCCUGUGCCCAGGAGAGGUUCACGCAGUGCGUUUCUGUUUGUUUGUUUGCUUUCCUGAGUGCUCAAGGAUUUUCUUCUGGCCACACCUACCCGCAGCUGCAAAAGAGGAGAAACUCUCUGUGCCAGGCUGAGUGGGGAAAGCACGUGUCCCUUGGCCACAGGGAGGGACGGUUUGCCAGUCCGGCUCGUGGGGAAGCGGGUGAGGGAGACUCUUUCCAGCCCCACCUGUCUGCUCCUAUCUGUGUAUCGGGAUGAGCAGGCGGUGGAUUGUGAGCGAAAAGGCAUCUUCAUGCAAAUUAUAUUGCCCUGAAAAAUAAUAACUCACAACGGUGUGACCUUGCUCUCACUUUCCACUACGUGCAUAAGAUAAAUGCGAGAUAACUAGGAUUCUCUGCCCUGGAGAAUGGCUUGGGCGCCCUGUCCUGCAGCUGGGCUGAAUUCCCCACGUUGCCUUGGAGCCUGCAGGGAGACUAGCAGCGUCCGGUUCAGGAGGUGCCUGCCUGCCUGCCCUGACACAUCUCUGCUAAUUAUGACGGCUUUGUAACCCUGGGCCCUUCUGCCCCCGGGGCUCGUAAAAGGUGCCCGCAACCUCAGCCUUCCUGUGCCUCCCUGCCCCUAGGUAG